UCGGCCUGCCGCCGCCACGGGGGCCUCUGACACUGCGCGCCAGGCCAGGUUCCGGAAGGCAGCCUGCGCGGGCGGGGAGCGCGGGCCCGGGAGGCCCCCGCGCGCCGGGCUGCCUGCAGCAGGGGGCUCGCACGAACGUCUUCCCCCGCCAACCUCCCAGCGCUGGGGUGCGGGCUAGGACGGGGUGGGGGGACAGUGGCGCCCAGCGCGGAACAGCGCAGGAGCCGGGCGCAACGCCGCACGCGGGGACCCAGGUUGCGGGGGCUCUGUCUCUGUGUGAGCCAGCCUGCGGGAAGCCUCGUCUGGCAGAAGGUGACCCAGAGAAAGGAAUUCUAACGCUUCUCUCAGAGGUCAGCCGACUGUUUCUGUAACGGGGCAGAGAGGGGGUGUCUGGGGGUCUGUGUCACCGGGACUGAAGCCUGCCGUCGCAACGCUGAGGCAGCCGGAGACGACUCGGAAGCAAACGGGCGCGCGGGGCUCCCGCAGAGCCCUGUUGGCAGCGCAGGUGGGCCUCGGCCGCCCCUGCUCUGUGUGGGCUCUUGGCAGUCCCUCAACCUGGAUGCCAGACCAUCCUCAGCUGCAGCCUGUGCCAUGAAAUAUGUCUGUCCCGCCGGUGCCUGACUCUGGGCAGAGUUUCUCAGGGGCAAGACCCCACGCCCCGCGCUCAGCCCCAGCCUGCAGGCUCGUCUUGCGCCGUCUUCCCGCCUUUCUCCCAUUUCACAGGCACAUAAACUGAGGCUCCAGCAGCCUGCCUCUUGUUCAGAGCCAGGCCGUGUGUAAGCGAGGGGGCUGGAAUCCAAGCCGGGGCUGCACGGUGGUGACCCCCGCCCCCAUCCCAGCGCACCUCUGCCUGGGCGCCCGCCCCCUCCCCGUGGCCCCAACCCCUCUGUCCACCUCCACUUCCUGUGGCCACUCAGGGAAUUUGCAUCUGGGGCCAAAGCAUGAGCGUCAGUGACACCCGAGGCCCCCGUUCACUCUGGGACCCCCAAUAUUGUCGUGCACUGGAUACCUUCCAGCCAGCAACAGCCGGGGCCGAGGAGUUCGGGCUGGGAGGGGGAUAAUGAGGGCCCGUGAGACCCAGUGGCAGGUGCUAGGUCCUCUGCAAAGUGGGAUGAGCCGAGUCCUAACUGCCUUGUGGCUGUCUUUGCCGUGCACAAGCCCUGUGCGCAGAAUGUCCUAGAAAGCCCCCUUCAUGGUGGCUCCGUUGCCCUGUCCUAGGGGACAGGGCUGAGGCCCAGAGAUACUGAGUCACCAUCUCAUGUUGCAGAGCCGAGUUCCAGGCCGCCACACGCACUGCCUUUGGUCACUCUGCUGGGCUGGAUAGUGUCCCCCAAACUCACGUCCUACCCAGACGCAGGGCCUUUGGAAAUA
rnacentral:lncRNA from 1 species